rnacentral:tRNA from 1 species
GGAGAGAUGGCCGAGCGGUUUAAGGCGCACGCUUGGAAAGCGUGUAAAGGGGCAACUCUUUCGCGGGUUCGAAUCCCGCUCUCUCCGCCA